rnacentral:lncRNA from 1 species
GGUUUGUUGUGCUGAUCAGAUGAUAUAUUUAUAAAGCACUUAGCAUAGUGCCAACCACAUAGUAAGCUCUUAAUAAAUCCUUCUUUCCUCUCUCCAUCCUUUCCUUCCUUCUGUCCCUCCAUUAUUUUCACCCCUUUUCCUUCCCUCAAUUCUUUCUUUCUUUCUUUCUUUCUUUUUUUCUUUCUUUCUUUCUUUCUUUCUUUCUUUCUUUCUUUCUUUCUUUCUUUCUUUCUUUCUUUCUUUCUUUCUUUCUUUCUUUCUUUCUUUCUUUCUUUCUUUCUUUCUUUCUUUCUUUCUUUCUUUCUUUCUUUCUUUCUUUCUUUCUUUCUUUCUUUCUUUCUUUCUUCCUUCCUUUCUUCCUUUCUCUUUUUUCCUUUCUUCUUUCUUUCUUUCUUUCUUUCUUUCUUUCUUUCUUUCUUUCUUUCUUUCUUUCUUUCUUUCUUUCUUUCUUUCUUUCUUUCUUUCUUUCUUUCUUUCUUUCUUUCUUUCUUUCUUUCUUUCUUUCUUUCUUUCUUUCUUUCUUUCUUCCUUUCUUCCUUCCUUCCUUUCUUUCUCUUUUUUCCUUUCCUUUCCUUUCCUUUCUGUUUGAAAGUCAAGACUUAAUUACAUCAUCAACUGCCCCCUAUGUAUUUCCAUCAGGAUAUCCUAUACACUUCUCAAAAUCGACCGAACUAAAGCAGAACCCAUUAUUUUCCCCUUAAACCUAUCCUUCUUUCUUACUUUCCUAAUUCUGCUGAGGGUGCUGUGAUCCAUGCAUCCAGAUUUAUAACCUUUUAUUUAUCCUCUACUCUUUCCACUUUCUCACCUACUUAUCCAAUUGGAUACCAAAUCUUGUCAAUUAAACCUCAUUAUCACUUAUAUCUGACCCCUCUUCUCCACUAAUAUUUGUUAUUAUUAUUAUUAUUUUUUUGUGUGAAACCCUUACCUUCCUUCUUGGAAUCAAUACUGUGUAUUGGCUCCAAGGCAGAAGAGUGGUAAGGGCUAGGCAAUGGGAGUCAAGUGACUUGCCCAGGGUCACACAGCUGGGAAGUGUCUGGGGCCAGAUUUGAACCCAGGACCUCCCAUCUCUAGGCCUGGCUCUCAAUCCACUGAGCCACCCAGCUGCCCCCAAGAUUUGUUAUUAUUGUUUAGUUGAUUUUUAGUUGUCUCUGACUCUUUGUGACCCCAUUUGGGAUUUUCUUGGCAAAGAUACUGGAGUGGUUUGCCAUUUCCUUCUCCAGUUCAUCUUACAGAGGAGGAAAUUGAAACAAACAUGGUUAGGUGACUUGCCCAGGG